rnacentral:lncRNA from 1 species
CUUGAGUCACCCCUGGUCACCUGCUCUGUCCUGAGUCACCUCUGGUCACCUGCUCUGACCUGAGUCAUCCUGAGUCACCCUGAGUCACCUGUUGUGCCAAACUACUCACCCUGCCACUCCAACUCAUACCCCUGCUCUCUUUAAAAUAGCCAAUCGGAAUUAGCUUAGACUGUGAAGUCCAACCCUAGCCAAUAGGGGAACAACACAGCAGUAGAGGCUACCUGCAUCAGGAAUAAAAACCCCCUCCCCUCCUUUGUUCAGGUGUGCUCUCACCAUUGCCCCAUCCAUGAGUUACACCCUUCCACAGAAGUAAAAUUUGCCUUGCUGAGGAAAUUAAAUUUAUGUUUGAGUGCUAUUUCUUUUGCAGCACUGAAAAUUUAUUUCUAACAGUAGCCUCUAAUGCAUUUCACAAAUAGAAGGUAAUAUUACCACUAUUGGAUUAGAGUUUUCCCCUCAUUUCCUCCAUUUUCCUUGUUUCUUCCAUUUUCUAUAAGGAUUUUUUAAAAACAGUCUUAAGCAAAGUCUUCAUAAGAUUUGGGAAGUCAGACCUCACAUCACUGGGAUACUGGUCAGAGGACAGCCCUUGGAUGUCUUCUAGAGUCUCCAUUCCCUCCUUCGCAUGAGUCCUUUCUGUGAUUAGGGUAUGGCAGCAACAACCAAGAUGGGGGCUCUGAAAGGAGGGCAAGGGUUCAGGGGAGGAGAGCAUGGCCCCACAUGGAAUGCUGCCCUUGGUCACCCCAGCCCUCUCUCAAUUUCCCUCACAACCCACCAUCAGGAGCCUCAGAGUAGGCCAGCGUUUGAAACAAGUUUUCAGUGCCGCAAAAGAAACAGCACUCAAACAGAAAUUUUUUUCUCAGCAAGGCAAAUUUACUUCUGCAGAAGGGUGCAGCUGGCGCCAGACAUGAUCACAAGAGCACACUGAGUAGGGUGGGGCAGGAGUUUUUAUCCCUAAUGCAGCAGCUUCUGUAGCUGUGUCCUUUCCCCAUUGGCUGGAGUUGGACUGCACAAUCUAAGCUGAGACCUGACUGGCUACUGUUUAAAAUUGAACAGGGCUAACUAGGCAGGAAGGGAGAGGCUGUCCCUUACAAUUUUAGGGUGCAGUAAAGGCAGAAAGGAUAGUUGCAGAGUAGGGAAUAGAUGUGAGUUAUAGAUUAGGACUGAUGGGAAGAUUGUUUACCAUAAUUAGAGGCAAGGGGGCAUAAAGAACGAGGAAGUUACUCUUUGAAAAUAGAGAACAAAGAACAAGGAAGCUGAACAAGCUGACUCUUCUUUGAAGAGGAACCCACCGUACCCAACACCAGAAAGACUAUAACCUUGCUUUGAAGGCUGGGAGUCCAAGAUCCAGGUGUCAGCAGUGUUGGUAUCUCCUGUGGCCACUCUCCUGGGCUUGCAGACGGCGUCUUCUCCCUGUGUCCCCACAUGACCACCCUUCUCCACCUUAGCAUCCCCGGUGUCUCUGUGUGUCCGGAUGUCCUUUUCUCAUGAGGACCAGAGAGAGAAGCAUCCCUGCUGAUGAGAAAGAACAGACACUCCCAGAGGACAAGGUCCACCUGUCAGGCAGCCACAGCCCAGCAUACUCUGGAGUCUGAGGUGGGGGUCAGUUGUGAAGAAAGGGAAGAAGGAAGAAAAAGGAUACGUUGUGCUCCGACCACAGGCCAAGGUCAGAAGACGGUAUUUACCAAGUCUCUUCCCAAAAUACUUGCAAAUGCACAUAAUCUCAAAGUGUUUUUGAGGGCUCUUCCGAUCUAAAAUUGGUCCUAGUGACAAGGGGUGUUUGGGGAAAUCAAAGGGCUGGCUUAACUAUGUAGACCUAGGUCUGGUCUUAUUUCUGGCCCAUACGAUCAUCAUGACCUUGGACAAAUGAAACUUCCUGGGCCUCAAGUUCCUUGUAUCAGAAAGGAUGGCAUUCAGCUGCGUACAACAGAAAACCAAAUCACAGUGGCUUAUCCAAGAAAAGUUCAAUUUUUCUCAAAACUACAGCGUCCUGGGCUGAUGCGGCAGCCCCAGGACGACCUCAGCAUCUCACUCCUCCUUUCUUUACUCGGCCCCAUCCUCAGGCUGUGACUUUCAUCCUCAGGUUUGUCAUCUUUUGGUGGUAAGAUGGUUGCUCUACCUCAAGCUCACAAAAAGAAAUGGGGGAAAGCAGGAAAGAAGAAAAUCUGCUUCCCCAGAGACUCUGAGGCUGCACUUGCACAUCUUAUGGAUCCAAACUGUGUCCCAUGGCUGCCCCUAGAUGCAAGGGGCCUGGGGAAAUGAGCGGAUUCAUCAGGUACACUGCAACCGUACAUGAAAGGAAAGUUCUGUCAAUAAAGAAGAGCGAAAUCUACAUUUGGUCAGGAAACAGCAUUGCCUGCAAUAUGCCUCAUAUGAAAUAAAGCCUUUCUUGCCCCCAUUCUGCUACUCGGUCAUUCUUGCACUCAACAAAUAGAUGUUGAGUGCCCACUCUCUCCAGGCCAUGUUCUAGGUGCUGCGGAUGCAAUCCUGAAUCUAUGAACACGAUUGGCAGAACAAUAAAUAUUGAUUGUCUUGGCCACUCACCAAAUAAAGUGCUCCUGGGAAGGCUGAGAUCUAAUGCAAAGCAGCAGCUUGACUUUCUCACUCCCUGGCAACAAUGCCAAGCAAGAGAAAGCGAUGGGUAAGGCCUGGCUCAAGAGUCUCACUGCAACCUGCACUGUAGAUUCUACCUGCUAAUUUCCUCAGCCUUCUCUGGUUUUGGGCUUCAGAAUGCCCUAACUCUGGGCCCGGCGCGGUGGCUCACGCCUGUAAACCCAUCACUUUGGGAGGCCAAGGCGGGUGGAUCACAAGAUCAAGACCAUCCUGGCCAACAUGGUGAAACCCUGUCUCUACUGAAAAUACAAAAAUUAGCUGGGCAUGGUGGCUUGUGCUUGUAAUCCAGCUACUUGGAAGGCUGAGGCUGGAGGAUCGCUUGAACCCAGAAGGCAGAGGUUGCAGUGAGCUGAGAUCACACCACUGCACUCCAGCCUGGCAACAGAGUGAGACUCUGUCUCAAAAAAAAAAAAAAAAAAAAAAAGAAUGCCCUAAGUCUACUCUGGACCAUGAGCAAGGAUAAUCUGUCUUAGAGGAGAGAAGGUGAGGUUAUGAUUCCAGAGCAUUUGGUGACCCAGGAAGUAGACCUGCCUCCUCCUAUCUGUCCACAGAGCAGUCCUAGGGGCAAUAGGCCAUGAGAAGAUCAUGCCAGGCAGUCCAUUUCUAUAUUACCAUGUAAACAAAAACUCAGCUGUGAACCCUGGAACGUUCGUAUUCUGCAGCUGCCAGUGUAAACUGGUACAGGCCUCUUGAAGAACAGUGGGGAAAGGCACUCUGAAAGCAUCCACGCCUCCAUACCUGCUGAUCCAGGGCUCUGAUUUUCCUUCUGGGAACCAAGCCUAGGAGAAUGAUUCAAGCUGCAGAAAACCUUUCUCCACUAAGAUGUUUGCUGUGGCAUUCAGUAUAAUAGCACACCAGAGAAACAAUCUAAAGAUUCAUCAGUAGGAGAAUAUCUAAGUAAAUUAUGGUACAUACACUCAAUAAAAUGUUAUAUGACUACUAA